GUGGCGAACGGGUGAGUAACACGUGAGUAACCUGCCCUUAACUCUGGGAUAAGCCUGGGAAACUGGGUCUAAUACCGGAUAGGAGCGCCUACCGCAUGGUGGGUGUUGGAAAGAUUUAUCGGUUUUGGAUGGACUCGCGGCCUAUCAGCUUGUUGGUGAGGUAAUGGCUCACCAAGGCGACGACGGGUAGCCGGCCUGAGAGGGUGACCGGCCACACUGGGACUGAGACACGGCCCAGACUCCUACGGGAGGCAGCAGUGGGGAAUAUUGCACAAUGGGCGCAAGCCUGAUGCAGCGACGCCGCGUGAGGGAUGACGGCCUUCGGGUUGUAAACCUCUUUCAGUAGGGAAGAAGCGAAAGUGACGGUACCUGCAGAAGAAGCACCGGCUAACUACGUGCCAGCAGCCGCGGUAAUACGUAGGGUGCGAGCGUUAUCCGGAAUUAUUGGGCGUAAAGAGCUCGUAGGCGGUUUGUCACGUCUGUCGUGAAAGUCCGGGGCUUAACCCCGGAUCUGCGGUGGGUACGGGCAGACUAGAGUGCAGUAGGGGAGACUGGAAUUCCUGGUGUAGCGGUGGAAUGCGCAGAUAUCAGGAGGAACAC
rnacentral:rRNA from 1 species